UACGUAGGUGGCAAGCGUUGUCCGGAUUUAUUGGGUUUAAAGGGUGCGUAGGCGGUCUUAUAAGUCAGUGGUGAAAUACGGCAGCUCAACUGUCGAGGUGCCAUUGAUACUGUAGGACUUGAGUACAGACGAGGUAGGCGGAAUUGCUGGUGUAGCGGUGAAAUGCGUAGAGAUCAGCAGGAAUACCCGUGGCGAAGGCGGCCCCCUGGGCCGAACCUGACGCUGAGGCGCGAAGGCUAGGGGAGCGAACGGG
rnacentral:rRNA from 1 species